rnacentral:rRNA from 1 species
AUGGAUGGUCUUCUGCAUUGGGACUUCUCCCCUGGCCUUGCGGUCGCGGCUCAGGUGUGUCGACGCUUUGGAUCUAUGGUUCAUUUCUCCCCUUCUGGUGGUAGCAAGGAAUUCUUUCUGGUGGUUAGUUUUUCUUCGGCCUCUUUUACCCUUAAUGAAGAAUCUGUUGCACUGGCUCUGCAAUGCUCCAUUGGAGGUCUCCCUUCGGGUUUGCAUGUUAAGCAUUUGGAUGGAAGUCGCUUUCGCUUCUCGGUGGCCUCUAACUGUGUUGGUCAUUUCAUCUAUGGUCUCAAGGAUCGAAUCUGGCCGGACAUUGUAUGCCAUUUUAGUCUUUUUCGACCAGGGGUGCAUUCUUGUUUGCAUAAUCCUUUCUCUUGGCACUCGGAUCAGCCUAACCCUGAGAUCAGCUCCAGGUCACCUAUUGCAUGCAAGUCCUCACAUCGUUUUACGUCUGAAUUGGGUCCUGUGAUUGAGGCUUCGUCUCUAGAUGUUCUCACGAAAGCUGGUUUUUCAGUUCAGGUUAAUGGUGUGGUUAACCAUUCAUGCUCGCCACCGGCGUCUUUCCGGCAGCCUCCGGUCAGCUGA